rnacentral:hammerhead_ribozyme from 1 species
AUCCAGUUGACGAGUCCUAAAUAGGACGAAACGUGCGUUAUAGAU